UUGAAAUAUUGGUUCCCACAUGAUCACCAAAGUUAAGCAUCAUUGAGUCUAGUCAGUAACUAGAUGGGUGACCACUUGGGAAUACCAGGUACUGUAAG